rnacentral:rRNA from 1 species
UACGAAGGGGGCGAGCGUUGUUCGGAUUUACUGGGCGUAAAGGGCGCGCAGGCGGUCUUGAAAGUCAGGCGUGAAAGCCCCGGGCUUAACCUGGGAAUGGCAUUGGAAACUGGCUCGCUGGAGUGUGGCAGAGGGGGGUGGAAUUCCGCGUGUAGCAGUGAAAUGCGUAGAGAUGCGGAGGAACACCGAUGGCGAAGGCAGCCCCCUGGGCUAACACUGACGCUCAGGCACGAAAGCGUGGGGAGCAAACAGG